rnacentral:rRNA from 1 species
GNGCAANCCGAGCAAUUUCCUACGGGAGGCAGCAGUGGGGAAUCUUAGACAAUGGGCGCAAGCCUGAUCUAGCCAUGCCGCGUGAGUGAUGAAGGCCUUAGGGUCGUAAAGCUCUUUCGCCAGGGAUGAUAAUGACAGUACCUGGUAAGGAAACCCCGGCUAACUCCGUGCCANCAGCCGCGGUAAUAA